rnacentral:rRNA from 1 species
AUUGAACGCUGGCGGCAGGCCUAACACAUGCAAGUCGAACGAGUGGCGGACGGGAGGGUAAUGCUUGGGACUCUGGCUUAUGGAGGGGGAUAACGACGGGAAACUGUCGCUAAUACCGCGUAGCUUAGGAUGAGCCCAAGUGGCAUUAGUUAGUUGGUGGGGUAAUGGCCUACCAAGCCGACGAUCUCUAGCUGGUCUGAGAGGAUGAUCAGCCACACUGGAACUGAGACACGGUCCAGACUCCUACGGGAGGCAGCAGUGGGGAAUAUUGCGCAAUGGGCGCAAGCUGACGCAGCCAUGCCGCGUGAGUGAAGAAGGCCUUCGGGUUGUAAAGUUCUUUCAGUGACGAGGCGUUAACCACAGAAGAAGCACCGGCUAACUCCGUGCCAGCAGCCGCGGUAAUUC